rnacentral:rRNA from 1 species
UCCUACGGGAGGCAGCAGUGGGGAAUAUUGCACAAUGGGCGCAAGCCUGAUGCAGCAACGCCGCGUGAGGGACGAAGGCCUUCGGGUUGUAAACCUCUUUUAGUAGGGAAGAAGCGACUGGGUUUUCCUGGGAGUGACGGUACCUGCAGAAAAAGCACCGGCUAACUACGUGCCAGCAGCCGCGGUAAUACGUAGGGUGCAAGCGUUGUCCGGAAUUAUUGGGCGUAAAGAACUCGUAGGCGGUUUGUCGCGUCUGCUGUGAAAACCCGAGGCUCAACCUCGGGCCUGCAGUGGGUACGGGCAGACUAGAGUGCGGUAGGGGAGAUUGGAAUUCCUGGUGUAGCGGUGGAAUGCGCAGAUAUCAGGAGGAACACCAAUGGCGAAGGCAGAUCUCUGGGCCGUAACUGACGCUGAGGAGCGAAAGCAUGGGGAGCGAACAGGAUUAGAUACCCUGGUAGUCCAUGCCGUAAACGUUGGGAACUAGAUGUGGGGACCAUUCCACGGUCUCCGUGUCGCAGCUAACGCAUUAAGUUCCCCGCCUGGGGAGUACGGCCGCAAGGCUAAAACUCAAAGGAAUUGACGGGGGCCCGCACAAGCGGCGGAGCAUGCGGAUUAAUUCGAUGCAACGCGAAGAACCUUACCAAGGCUUGACAUAUACCGGAAACGGCUGGAAACAGUCGCCCCGCAAGGUCGGUAUACAGGUGGUGCAUGGUUGUCGUCAGCUCGUGUCGUGAGAUGUUGGGUUAAGUCCCGCAACGAGCGCAACCCUCGUCCUAUGUUGCCAGCACGUAAUGGUGGGAACUCAUGGGAUACUGCCGGGGUCAACUCGGAGGAAGGUGGGGAUGACGUCAAAUCAUCAUGCCCCUUAUGUUUUGGGCUUCACGCAUGCUACAAUGGCCGGUACAAAGGGCUGCGAUACCGCAAGGUGGAGCGAAUCCCAAAAAGCCGGUCUCAGUUCGGAUUGAGGUCUGCAACUCGACCUCAUGAAGUCGGAGUCGCUAGUAAUCGCAGAUCAGCAACGCUGCGGUGAAUACGUUCCCGGGCCUUGUACACACCGCC